ACGCUCGACACCUACUGGAGGCAGCAGUGGGGAAUAUUGCACAAUGGGGGAAACCCUGAUGCAGCGACGCCGCGUGAAGGAAGAAGUAUCUCGGUAUGUAAACUUCUAUCAGCAGGGAAGAAAGUGACGGUACCUGACUAAGAAGCCCCGGCUAACUACGUGCCGGCAGCCGCGGUAAUCUGAGCGGGCUGGCAAGGC
rnacentral:rRNA from 1 species